rnacentral:misc_RNA from 1 species
GAGGCAUCACUAUCAAAUUACAGGUUUGGUAAAUUUUCCCCAUUUCUUGAUUUCUGUUCUCGUCCUGACUGUUUUAGUUGAUUGUUCUUGUUCUAUCUGUGAAGAUACUUCUAUACUGACUUGUUUGUGAAGGUUUGUUUAAUGGAGCCAAUCUGAGUUAGACUAAGUUUGGCUUGUAUGUUCAAGUUUUUGAAACGGGCUCAAGCCUUAAUUGUUUAUUACUCGAACACACACAUUUUUAUCAUAAAAAUAUGUACUUUUUAACUAAUUUAAUAAUAAAAAAGCAUGUUAAAAAGAAAAAAAUAUAUUAUUUGCACUAUAUGCGAUAUAAGAAAAAUAGAAAAAAAAUUAUAGAAAGAAAAUGAAAUUUAAAAAAAAUUAAUUUAACUCCACUUUAUCAGGGUUUAAGGGGAAAUAGGUGGGAAGAGGAGAGGAGGAGAGAAAACAAGAGAAGAAGGAGAAGAGAACGAUGAGAAAAACCCUA